GAUGAACGCUGGCGGCGUGCCUAAUACAUGCAAGUAGAACGCUGAAGGAAGGAGCUUGCUCUUUCCGGAUGAGUUGCGAACGGGUGAGUAACGCGUAGGUAACCUGCCUGGUAGCGGGGGAUAACUAUUGGAAACGAUAGCUAAUACCGCAUAACAGUAGAUGUUGCAUGAUAUCUACUUAAAAGGUGCAAUUGCACCACUACCAGAUGGACCUGCGUUGUAUUAGCUAGUUGGUGAGGUAACGGCUCACCAAGGCGACGAUACAUAGCCGACCUGAGAGGGUGAUCGGCCACACUGGGACUGAGACACGGCCCAGACUCCUACGGGAGGCAGCAGUAGGGAAUCUUCGGCAAUGGACGGAAGUCUGACCGAGCAACGCCGCGUGAGUGAAGAAGGUUUUCGAAUCGUAAAGCUCUGUUGUAAGAGAAGAACGAGUGUGAGAGUGGAAAGUUCACACUGUGACGGUAUCUUACCAGAAAGGGACGGCUAACUACGUG
rnacentral:rRNA from 1 species